rnacentral:lncRNA from 1 species
UCAUAACUAUUCACAUCAAAAAGGAGAUCUCAAAAGAAGAUAAACUCUCAGCCAUCCGGGCCAUACUCAAGGCCCCUCUCGGGACUAUCUUCUUCUUCCAAAAAUCCUUCUCUUCAGAUCUCACCUCCGAGUUCUCCUUCUCGGAUUCCUCCUCCUCAGCUCUUCAGCGGGGUCCUGAAAUGGUUUCCCCAAACUGGGAUGAGACUACGUCUCAGUGAGUUCUACCCCACUAAGCCCGAUUAGUAAACCAAUAUACUAAAGGCUGCCUAAACACGCACAGAGCAGAUGACUUACCUUGGCCUCUGAUCCCACCUGCAAGUCAGUACAAUUCACAAUAAACAACCAUUCGCUUCAAACAAAUCGAACUAGUCGAUUACAUGUCAUACAAUUCAAUCCCCACUGUGGGAUAUUUAAAAGCUAGGCCACGUGCAUUCUCCAGGACGACCUUCCAAGUCUCCGAGCCACGUGCCUCAAACCUCGGACCCACGUGCAUUCUCUAAGGCGACCUCUUCGCCAAGGUGGUACAUCAAGCCACCGAGCCACGUGUCCUUUUUACGAUGCCCGGGCCCACGUGCAUUCUCUAAGGUACUCGCUUACCAAAGUGACGCAUCAGAUCACCGAGCCACGUGCCCUUUUAGAUGCCAUUCCGAAUACUGGACCCACGUGCAUUCUCUAAGGUACUCGCUUACCAAAGUGAUGCAUCAGAUCACUGAGCCACGUGUCCUUUUAGAUGCCUGGGCCCACGUGCAUUCUCUAAGGUACUCGCUUACCAAAGUGACGCAUCAGAUCACCGAGCCACGUGCCCUUUUAGAUGCCAAACUCUGUCACCGAGCCACGUGCAUUCUUCAGGACGACAUACCGAGUCUCCGAGCCACGUGCAUUCUCUCAGGCGACCUCUUCGCCAAGGUGACAUAUUCAACCACUGAACUCACGUGCAUUUUCCAGGUGACAUUCCAAUUCACCGAGUCCACGUGUCCUCUUUCAAGUGGUUACCAAUCUUCUUUCAAUACCGACAACCAAUGCCCAACGAUUUCUCAAUCAAAUAAUUAAAUCAACUCAACAAAGCAUUAUAAAUGCUGAAUAACAUACUUGGCCAAUCACCAAUCAAUAAUUCAAUCUCAAUCGAUUCCAAUCAAUUUAGGGUAAAUCCCUAAAAUAUCACAAUUUAUUCAAUUCCAUACAACGUAGAGCUCAAAUAAAU